rnacentral:lncRNA from 1 species
CCAGUAUCACCAAAGAAAAGCACAGAUGAGUGGCCACCAUGGACUCCUGUGGUGUAGGCUCUGCUAGCUGUGACUGACCCAUCAGCUGUGGCUGACCUCAAGCUGUGGAGGAGUAGAGAGAUCUGUGAGGCAGGAAUGAGUUCCGUGGAAUGCUGUGGGCAGGAGAGAGGGGAAGCUGAGCCAGGGUGGGCAGGACAGGAGAGGAAGAGAGGCUGAGAGCGAGCUGAAGUUGGAUCAUGUCCAUGGGGACUUUGACAUCUGUCCAUCUGUUUAACUGUCCAGGAGUCUUGGGCAUGGGGAGCACUGGGCUUGUCUCUGCAGGCGUAUGUAACAACUGACUCAAGAAGACUCCUGGACACUUUACAAUGGGACCUGGAUGCCGGGCCUGAACAAGCUGGCUGUCCCCAGAGCUCAUGACAUUUGAUCUUCAACCCAAGGACAGCCCAUGCUUCCUGUGGUUGCUGUCUUUUGGUUUGUCGGUGCCUCUGUCCCCUGUUGGGCUCCUUGGAGGGAGCUUGCUUGCAAGCAGACGGAUGGAAGCCCACCUGACCUGUCUAGCUGUGGCCACUUCCUCCUUCCCAGCUCAGCCUUUGCUGUGAGAGCUCGGAGUGAAUGCCUUUGAGACCAAACAACAGGAAACCACGAAGCAGGGUCUUAUUACAUGGCCCAGGCUAGCCCAGCACUCACUAUGUAUGUAGCCUGAGCUGACCUAGAUCUUCUGGAUGUUUUCCUGCCCCAAAUACUAGGAUGGAUUUUAUUUUCCCUUACCACCCAGCCAAACAAUGAGAUGCAAUUUAAACACAAAUAUUUGAUUGCUGCACCAGGCUGGCUUGGUGGCUUCUUUGCUGAACAGGCCCUGUGCUGUUUCCAGUGCGACAGCAGACUUUCCUGCCGGCACUGGGUUUGCCACUUGCGGAACUGUUCCUUGCUGUGCCUUGGUCAGUCCAGAAGGGCAAUACUUCCCAUGGGCUUGGAAUAUAGAGUUAUCAGGAGAGCAAGACUGGCUCUAGCUCUAGGGAGGAUGAAAAGACAGGAGGGCUGCUUGCCCUGUGACCUGAGAAUGGUGAAGAUUCAGAGAAGGAGAUCGCUAAGGAAAGCAGGGUGUGCAAAGGGCCUGGGGCCAGAGGGGGUGAGUUUGAGGACCACGGCGUACCCCAGUG